rnacentral:rRNA from 1 species
UACGUAGGUGGCAAGCGUUGUCCGGAAUUACUGGGCGUAAAGCGUGCGCAGGCGGUUGUGUAAGACAGAUGUGAAAUCCCCGGGCUCAACCUGGGAACUGCAUUUGUGACUGCACGGCUGGAGUGCGGCAGAGGGGGAUGGAAUUCCGCGUGUAGCAGUGAAAUGCGUAGAUAUGCGGAGGAACACCGAUGGCGAAGGCAAUCCCCUGGGCCUGCACUGACGCUCAUGCACGAAAGCGUGGGGAGCAAACAGG